ACACGGCCGCCCUCUCAAGAUUCUGCAGGAAUCAGUACCGGGGAAUCAUCCUCAGCUACCCUUACCUGGGUUAGAUCAAAGAUUGUGACAUUUUUCUUGCCGUGGCCGAUAUUAUUUGCCCAGUUUCUUUCCAUGACCCAUAAAAUAUGAUUGGUUCUCUAGCUUUUUGGUUUCAUAACACCUUGUGUUUCAUACAGGAAAGGUAGAUUUCUGGAAGAAAAGAAGGGAUGCACUCAGCAUAUUGAGUCAUGUCCGUUGUUUGCUGCCUCUCGACUGUAAGGAUAUCUGAGCUGCACAUUUGGGUCAUUCUUCAGUUCAGCAUGGCUGGGUCAUUGGUGUGCAUUGCAGGUCCUCUAAAAAAAUAGAGGAGCGGAAACUUUGUCCUAUAUUUUCCACACCGUUCUUUGGAGAUACAACUCUGAACUGAUGAAUACAGAAGAAUAUAUUAUCUGAUCAUGGAUAGAUUGUCCAAUUGCAUUGCAGGUGCUGUACAAAAAGUUUAGAGGAGAUGAAUAUUUGUCCUAUAUUUGCCACACCAUCCUUCGGAGAUACAACUCUGAAUUGAUGAAUAUAGAAGAAAAUAUUAUCUGAUCAUGGAUAGAUUGUGCAAUGAGACAUAAGGCCAGAAGAAGAUAUGUGUGCUAAAGGAAGGCCGAGUAUCUACGUUCAGUACUUCGAGACCAAUCCAGUAGUGAAACAAUACUGGCUGGCCUACUUACAAAAAUUGUGAGCUGCGUUUGACAGCAUGGACGGGGCUGAUGGAGGUUGCUCUAUGCAUACAAGCAGAGGAUUUUUCUCAGAAUUUUAAGGUUUGGUGACGCUUGACGGCUUGAUUGCAAGGAAGAGCCUCCAUGGCAGCAUCACUCUCAACGGAGAGACUCUCCACUGUUUUCUCCCCGCUGCACUCUCUUCAUCUAGGAAGCGAACAUGUCAAUGUGAUUAUCUGGCAGGUCGACAUCUCUCGCGUCGCCAACACAGUACUCUGCGUGCUGACCCGCUGCUUGCCAAAGAGAGCGCUGCUGUGACCUCAGAUUUUGAGUAGAGGAAAGGGCAAGGAUCACAAGGUGACUGUUGUUGUUUUUUACCGUGAGUCAAGAAUCAAGAUCACACGAGUUGCUUCAGUGUGUUAGAGUUCUCUUUGUACCUAGAGAUAAGAGCAUUGUGCUUGCGGAGCUGAUCAAGAGUACUAGCUGGGACUGUCUGCAAAUUCAUCUGUCAUUGUGGUGGAAGAAAACUGAUGAUGAGGAACAUUUCAGAUUCUGCAGGAGUAGAUAAGAUACAUGUAUACUUAACUAAGAUGGGGAACCAUUGAAAUCAGUGGUUGGAAAAAUAAAAUGGUAAACUAGAUUGGUUGAUAUAAUGAAAUUUUUAUCUACGUAACAUUUUUGCUAUACAAUGUUGUCAAAAUGACAACAUGUAUCUGUCCAUACCUCCUAUAAGGCUCAUAUAAUCAAAUA